rfam:Caulobacter sp. K31, complete genome.
AGGAGUGUAGCUCAGCUGGUAGAGCAUCGGUCUCCAAAACCGAGGGUCGUGGGUUCGAGUCCCUCCACUCCUG